GAUGAACGCUGGCGGCGUGCCUAAUACAUGCAAGUCGAGCGGACAGACGAGGAGCUUGCUCCUCUGACGUUAGCGGCGGACGUGUGAGUAACACGUGGAUAACCUACCUAUAAUACUGGUAUAACUUCGGGAAACCGGAGCUAAUACCGGAGAAUAUAUUGAACCGCAUGGUUCAAUGGUGAAAUACGGUGUUGCUGUCACUAAUAGAGGGAUCCCCGCCGCAUUAGCUAGUUGGUCAGGUAACGGGUUACCACGGCAACGAGGCGUAGCCGAGCUGAGAGGGUGGUAGGCCACCCUAGAGCUGGGACACGGUCAAGACGCCUACGGGAGGCCGCAGUCGGCAAUGUUACGCAAUGGUCGAAAGCAUGACGGAGCAACGCCGCGUGAGUGACGAAGGUCCUCCGAUCGUAAAACUCUCUUACUAGGGAAAAACAACUGUGUAAGUAACCAUGCACGUAUUGACGGUACCUAAUAAGGAAGCACCGGCUAACUACGUG
rnacentral:rRNA from 1 species